rnacentral:rRNA from 1 species
GACGAACGCUGGCGGCGUGCUUAACACAUGCAAGUCGAACGGAAAGGCCCUGCUUUUGUGUGGUGCUCGAGUGGCGAACGGGUGAGUAACACGUGAGUAACCUGCCCUUGACUUUGGGAUAACUUCAGGAAACUGGGGCUAAUACCGGAUAGGAGCUCCUGCUGCAUGGUGGGGGUUGGAAAGUUUCGGCGGUUGGGGAUGGACUCGCGGCUUAUCAGCUUGUUGGUGGGGUAGUGGCUUACCAAGGCUUUGACGGGUAGCCGGCCUGAGAGGGUGACCGGCCACAUUGGGACUGAGAUACGGCCCAGACUCCUACGGGAGGCAGCAGUGGGGAAUAUUGCACAAUGGGCGGAAGCCUGAUGCAGCAACGCCUCGUGCGGGAUGACGGCCUUCGGGUUGUAAACCGCUUUCGCCUGUGACGAAGCGUGAGUGACGGUAAUGGGUAAAGAAGCACCGGCUAACUACGUG